UACGUAGGUGGCAAGCGUUUGUCCGGAAUUAUUGGGCGUAAAGCGCGCGCAGGCGGUCCUUUAAGUCUGAUGUGAAAGCCCACGGCUCAACCGUGGAGGGUCAUUGGAAACUGGGGGGACUUGAGUACAGAAGAGAAGAGUGGAAUUCCACGUGUAGCGGUGAAAUGCGUAGAGAUGUGGAGGAACACCAGUGGCGAAGGCGACUCUUUGGUCUGUAACUGACGCUUGAGGCGCGAAAAGCGUGGGGGAGCAAAACGGG
rnacentral:rRNA from 1 species